rnacentral:rRNA from 1 species
AACGUAGGAGACAAACGUUAUCCGGAGUUACUGGGCGUAAAGGGCGCGUAGGCGGCCACCGCAAGUCAAUUGUGAAAUCUCCGGGCUUAACUCGGAAAGGUCAACUGAUACUGCGGGGCUAGAGUGCGGAAGGGGCAACUGGAAUUCUCGGUGUAGCGGUGAAAUGCGUAGAUAUCGAGAGGAACACCUGCGGCGAAGGCGGGUUGCUGGGCCGACACUGACGCUGAUGCGCGAAAGCCAGGGGAGCGAACGGG